CCUACGGGAGGCAGCAGUGGGGAAUAUUGCACAAUGGGGGAAACCCUGAUGCAGCGACGCCGCGUGAGCGAUGAAGUAUUUCGGUAUGUAAAGCUCUAUCAGCAGGGAAGAAAAUGACGGUACCUGACUAAGAAGCCCCGGCUAACUACGUGCCAGCAGCCGCGGUAAUACGUAGGGGGCAAGCGUUAUCCGGAUUUACUGGGUGUAAAGGGAGCGUAGACGGCUGAGCAAGCCAGAUGUGAAAGCCCGGGGCUCAACCCCGGGACUGCAUUUGGAACUGUGUGGCUGGAGUGUCGGAGAGGCAGGCGGAAUUCCUAGUGUAGCGGUGAAAUACGUAGAUAUUAGGAGGAACACCAGUGGCGAAGGCGGCCUGCUGGACGAUGACUGACGUUGAGGCUCGAAAGCGUGGGGAGCAAACAGGAUUAGAUACCCCAGUAGUC
rnacentral:rRNA from 1 species